rnacentral:lncRNA from 1 species
ACAAUGCAAGCAUUGGUGGCAGCGAAGCAUGUGAUUUCUCAGCUGAACUGGAGUGAAAGUGGCUCAACUAACACCCCUCUGCCGUUUUGAGUCUGCUACCUGUAUGUAAGAAACUUGUGCUAAGCUUUAGUAUUUAAUCUGACAGAGGUAGUGUAUUCUUCACGUCUCAAGACGUCAGCCAACGUAUAUGUGGUUUUGUGUGUGGCUGGGCUCUGAACCAAAAGGUACAGAUUUUCAGGUGGGUAGUGGUGGGUUCUAAACUUAUUUAGUAUCGACCGAUAAGAAGCAGGAAUGUUCGUUAUGUUGCCCUUUGGGUUUCUAACGGAGCCCAUUGUUAAUGCCAUCCGGCACCAACCUGCAAUGAUCUCAAAACCUUUUGUGCCGACCUGAACAGUGUUAAAUUGUUCCCUAAUCAUUAAGACUUCAUGAUGGUAGCGGAAAAACUCACUUGUACCCCUAAAUGACUGCAUGCUAUGGAUGGAAGCUUAGUGCGGUUUCCCUUAUUUUGGUUUAUCCCAAUUAACCAUGCUAUUCCAACGUUUUAAUUUUGUAGGUUGGGGCACCGCUGUCUGAUAUAUCCUAGCAUGAGCAUGAACCAAUAAGCCAUGAAAUAAAUAAACUUCUGUUGAGGUUAUUUCAACUCAUGCAAAUCUAUAUUUUGAAGUAUUCCAGUCUUAGAGUAUUGCCACACAUGAUUUUUCUGAAUAGUAAGAUACCUUUAAAUAUAUGCUUUGCUAACUUAAAAGGCUAAGGUACUUUUAAAAAGUAAUGCUAGUCUUUCCUUUUUAUUGUUUUAACAAUUCAGGAAUCAGCUGUUUGGAGACAUUUAAUUAUGAAAUGUUAGAGCCAUGAUUUUAUUUUCCACUCACCUUAAAAAGUGAUAAAGAUUUUGAGUCACAUUUUGGAUAGUCAAGUAAAAGACAUGUCUUCUAAUAAAUAAACAAUAACUAAUAAACAUGAGUUACAAAUACUCAAAUCAUUAAAUACAUGUACAUAAAACAUGAUCUCAUCAUGUAUAUAUGUGUGUGUAUAUAUAUAUAGAUGUAUACUCAUAAAAAUUAGGCAAGGUUGAAUGCCAAAGUUGUAUUAUGCAAAAAUAAAUAAAUAAAUAAAUACAAGAUUUUUUACUUUUUAGAAUGAAAUAAAAAUUUGAAAACUUAUGUAAUCCUAGUUGUACCUAAUAUCCUUAAUCUGCACAAGCCACUAGUAGUAUCAACCAGUAAUUUGAUAUUAUGCUCAUGUUUUUGCAAUGCAAUACAUGGAUGGUAUGACAAGCAUACUUCUUGGAUGUGCUCAUAUGAGCUCUCUCUUUGCAAGCUUCAAAAUUCACCACACAAAAUAACACCAUGUAAUAAAAAAUUGCUCCCCAACACUCAGAAGACUUAAGACAUUGUACCACUUACUACUCAUUUGUGAAAACCUUGACUUGUAAGUCUUCUUCACAAUCCAUGGAAGUUGCAAUAAUCACAGUGAAGAAAUCAUUUGUAGAAAUUAUAGCAGCAACAUUGUAGUCCAACAUGUAGAAAUAAGCAUAUUAUCAUAAUAAUAAUAAUAAUAAUCAUAAUCCUAUGGAAGAAUGGUUGGGUCUGUGUUCACAUGAUGGAGAAAGUUGGUUGUUGCAAUUGGACUCUAAAAGAUAUGGAAACAGUCCAAAUGGUGUUCAUUAAAAUGAAUAUUCUAAGACAUCAACCUUCACCUUUAAAACAUGGAACAUGGAAACCAAAUUAAAGCUAAAAUGGAAAUUCGUGGCUCGUCACUAAGAGCCCAAUUAUGCCACGAUUGCUGCUGACUCAGCGCGGCAUGAAGGGCAAAUCGAAGAGACAACACCCCCCCACUCAUCGAGGGGUCAAAUCCAAGUCCCCUAAACUUAUUGAGCCCUGGGAUGGAACCACCUUGUGAUCCCUUCACCACCCCCUAUUGAGGCCGCAAACCCCCGAAGGGGCCCGGAAACCUCCGCGAAAUUCUUCUGAUGCAAAGUCAAUGACAAGUCAAUGCCAUCAGCUUCCUUCCUUGGGAUUCCCUGGAGCUCCCUCACCAAAGUCAAACCCAGUUUGCCCUGUAUUUGUGUUGUCCAGCUCGCUAGAUUAUAUAUUAUCUGACGAUUUGCAUGGAUGAAUGAUUGCGUUCAUCCAUAUAAUCUCAUUCUUGAACUUAUAGCAAAUACAUUCACUUCAAAGUUUUUUUUACUAAAAAAAAUAAAAAUGAAAUAGGUUCAGAUAUAUAAGACUGAAUUUAAAGAAAAAUACACAAUUAUAAUAGUCUAGUGGAGUUCAUUUAUCAUGGUGGAUCAGUGUUGAGUUCAUGCAUGCAUGUAGCAAACUUUUGCACAAGUAUAACAAAAGUUCAUGCUUUUAACAAUUUUUGCAAUUAACUACACCUAAAAUAAGACAAGGACCUAGUACUUACAACUGCAUCCUUAACAGUGAUGCCUUGAUGCAUCUAUGAAUACAACAUGCAAAAUAGUUUUUGAACAAGUUUCUUAAAGCUUUAGUUAAAACAUCUGUGCACUUUUGAAAACAUCACUUUUGAUAUGCAUAUUAAAUGGUAAAAAUGUUCUCACUUAAAGCUACUACAAUAUAAUGCUGGGUUUAGAAAACACACAAAGAGUCUGAUUUGAAUAAAAAAUUCCCUAGGGUAUGGGUAAGAAAUGUAUGUAUUGAAGGGAAAAUAUAAUAUAAUAUAAUAUAAUAAAUUGUAGAAUAAACACACCUGCAAACCUACCCACCAUCCCCCAUAUUAAAUUCUAGGGUUAUCAACAUUCUUAUGCUCAUUGCAUUGUGAUACUCUAACCAAAUUCUUGGGUUUGGUACCACAUUUGCAAACCCUAAGGUUCAGGACAUGAUUCAAAACUACUUAUUAUACAUGCAUGUUAUUGAUAAUAAUAAUAAUAAUGAUGAUAAAAAGUGGUGAUAAUUGUUUAGAAUGGUGGUGUAAGAGAGGGAAAGAUUGUUGGUCAUGGGUCAAAUUAGACUAGUUAAAAUAUUGUUGGCUUGGCUUCAAAGGAGGAAAUUGUGCAGUGUUGAGAUUAUUUAGGUCCAAUUUCAAUGCAUAACCUUUAAUGUAUAUGCACUUUAAUUAAGUUGUGAUUUAUUAUAUGUAAUAUAUGUUUUAUUUAUUGUGGUGGAUGUUAGAGAGCCCUCAAAUACUAUGCUCUGAAAUUGAACAACUGGUGUUUUAUUUUGUUUGUAAAUUGAAGCACUGAUAAACUAAACCACAUUGAUUAAACACAUUCUGGAGACAUGCAGAAAUCUUAUUUUUGUAUCACAAUCAGAAUUUCAUUUCAGUUUGCUUUAUUUCCCCUUAUUGUAUGAUCUCUCUAGAACUUUACAGUGGAUUAUCAUGUUUUAUGAGUAUUACAUGUGCAAUUUGACAUGUAUAUAUAAUUGCUCUUUCUGGCUAUUUUUAUGUAAUGAAAUGAAAUUUAUCAAUGUAUCAAAAUGGGUCACUGAACAUUAAAGCCAAAGAAUAUUUUAGCUCUGUUCUUCAAAUUGAUUAUUAUAAUGUUAAAACACUUUGUGGACUUUCAAUAUUAUGCUAUUCAAAGAAACAAACAAACAAACAAAUAAAUGGUUACAUUAGUGCGGAUUACUUUUGAAUUGCAUAAAGUACUAGCUAGUAAUUAAUCAAUUAUGAUUUUUUAUUUAAAUGUUUUAGAACAACCAAGCAAUAUGUACAAACUUACAGGUACAUGCACACAUAGCAACGAAAUAUUAUAAAAAUUGAAAGUAAAAUCUUACCAUUAUUAUAUGACGUUUCAGAAACAAUUAUUAAUAUUUCAUUCGUGGGACUUUUAUAUAUUUAAAAAUAAACUGUGAUUAUCAAGUUUGUUAGGAAAUAAUGGAUCUCCAGGUUUAAGAAAAAACAUAUUAUAUUUUAAUAAGAAAUAAAGACAUGGAAUGACUACUAUCAAUCAAUCAACCUCUCUCUAUAUAUGUAACACUUUAAAGUAAAGAAUGCUUUUAUGUAAUUCAUAUGUUUUUUGUUUGCCCUCCAAGAGUAAUUCAACAAUUCAUGAUCUUGGAUUAAACACAUUAUUGUGCUACUUACUGACAAUGAAAGACUAUCAAAACUUCAAUUACUUCUUGUACAUACAUUUUUAUUCUUGCAUAAGCAUUUUAGAAUCUGACAUAUUAUUUACACUCAUGAAUAAUUUUGACUAAUUCUGGAAUUUCAAUGAGCUAUGUUGCAAAAUAGAAUCGAAUUGCAGAGUAAAAUGUAAAGCACUAACCAUUUGAAAACUUUAAUUUGAUUUUUACCCAGUUUGUUUGAUUUAUAUGUUAUUCCUUUGAACUGAGAAAAACAAAAAUUGUGUACUAAAAUCAACAAGUUAUGGCUAUUGUCUGCAUGGAACAUGUUUGAGUUCAUGGAUAUCUAGUAUAUGUCUUCCAAAUGAUGUGAACAUUCUCCCAUGUGACAUGAGUGUGAAUUUCAGUACCACAGGUUGUAAAAGAAUAAACACAUGAUGAACCUAAAAACUCAACCAUGAAAAUCAAAACGUUUAAAAACCUUAAGUUUAUUUAUUUAUUAAUAAAGAAGAAGAAAAGAAGAAAGAAAAAAACAUUUGUAACAGCAGACCAGGUUGACUUGUGACAUUAAUCCAAAUCAUAUAUAUAUAUAUAUAUAUAUAUAAUUUUUAAAGAAAAGAUAAAAGAAAUACACCACCAAUAAAUAUUCCUGAGUUUCAACUCAUAUCAAUCAAACAAAGAGUUCCACCAUCACUGCAAACACACAUCAUUAAGUAAAUCAUCAAACAUAAAUAUUUUAAACCACCAACACCACAACGGCACAUUCACAUUUAUACAAGUUUAUUGGUGCACAAACCAAACAUAUAAAGACAUAAAAAAGCCUUCUCAUUAGCCAAACAUGGAUGAACAAGAAAAAUGGAUGAAUGUUGCUGUGCACAACCACAUGAAUUUUUGUUAGUAAAAAAAAAAAAAAAACAAAAAAACAAAACAAGGAGGAAUGUUAAAUACACCCAUGCUUUUACUAAAUUUACCCGUUCAUCCUAACCAUCAAAAAAAAAAAAAAAAAAAAAAAAAAACCUCUAGUGUCAUUUCUCCACAAGUGGAUGCAAAACCAAUAAAAACCAACCACAUUCGUCAUAAUUACCAUACUCUUCAUCAUGGAUAGGUUGAUUUAAUAAAAACUUGGGUCUAUUUAACAUUCCACCCAAAAAAACAACCCCACCAGCAAACACA